GACGAACGCUGGCGGCGUGCCUAAUACAUGCAAGUCGAACGGGGAAGUCCCUUCGGGGAUUGUACUAGUGGCGUACGGGUGAGUAACGCGUGGAUAAUCUUCCUCUAGGUGGGGAAUAACCAGUCGAAAGAUUGGCUAAUACCGCAUAAGACCACGGGGUCCUCGGGCUCUGAGGGAAAAGACGGCCUCUGCAUAUGCUGUCACUGAAAGAUGAGUCUGCGUCCCAUCAGCUAGUUGGUGAGGUAAUGGCUCACCAAGGCUAAGACGGGUAGCUGGUCUGAGAGGAUGAUCAGCCACACUGGCACUGGAACACGGGCCAGACUCCUACGGGAGGCAGCAGUGGGGAAUAUUGGGCAAUGGGCGGAAGCCUGACCCAGCCACGCCGCGUGAGUGAUGAAGGCCUUCGGGUUGUAAAGCUCUGUGGGAAGGGGAGAAAAACUGCAACCUAAUACGUUGCAGGUUGACGGUACCUUCUUAGCAAGCACCGGCUAACUCUGUGCCAGCCGCCGCGGUAA
rnacentral:rRNA from 1 species